rnacentral:rRNA from 1 species
GCAUGCCUAACACAUGCAAGUCGAACGAACCCUUCGGGGUUAGUGGCGCACGGGUGCGUAACGCGUGGGAACCUGCCUUUAGGUUCGGAAUAACUCAGAGAAAUUUGAGCUAAUACCGGAUAAUGUCUUCGGACCAAAGAUUUAUCGCCUUUAGAUGGGCCCGCGUUAGAUUAGAUAGUUGGUGGGGUAAUGGCCUACCAAGUCGACGAUCUAUAGCUGGUCUGAGAGGAUGAUCAGCCACACUGGGACUGAGACACGGCCCAGACUCCUACGGGAGGCAGCAGUGGGGAAUAUUGGACAAUGGGCGAAAGCCUGAUCCAGCAAUGCCGCGUGAGUGAUGAAGGCCUUAGGGUUGUAAAGCUCUUUUACCAGGGAUGAUA